rnacentral:lncRNA from 1 species
GGAAACAAAUACGGACUUUGUGCCGGAGAGCAGCGGCGCCCUAACGAAGCGGGGCAGCGCGCGCUAACGCGUCCCUAAUAAAGCUGUGUGCGUGCACACACGCGGUGCCCUGUGAGCGUGGACCUGGUGCACGAGCUGUAAAUCAAAAUGGGUCCCAAUGAGCACUACCCGUCCUGCGUGCCCGCUGGUCACCGGGACCGUGUCUCGGUGAUUUCUCUCCCCUUUCAAAGAGGGGAGCGAGGAGGAAGAUGCUGGCUCUGCCCUGAGCCUGCGGCCAGGCUGUGCCCACAGGUAAGGCACGGCGGGGGGCUCUGCUCAGCCACCUCCUCCGAGGGCUCUUGGUGGUUUCCAGCUGAGCUUUGGGAGAGCCCAGCACAGCUGCUGGAGGCUGGCUCCCAGCUGCAGGUGCUAAUUUCAUCAGGAAACUCUAGCAGCAGCAGGGGGAUCGGCUCCCUGCCCGGCUGCGGUGUGGAGGAGACGUGGUGCCCCGCGAGGAAGCGCUUGUCCCCUUCUGCGCGUGGAUUUCGGGUGUUAGCCCUGCGUGUCAAACCAGCGUGAGCACUACUGGCAGAACUGGGACAGGAAAAUGAGAGCGGGGAAUCGUCCGAUGCUGCCUGCUCCCUGAGGAGCUGCUCUCCGCCACAAGCCCCGUGCUGUGAGCCUCCAUCCGCACACAGUCCUGGCUUCUGAACGCUGAAUUUGGGAAUAUUUUGGCUGUGCGUGGGAUGUGCUCAGUGCCCCCCUGCUCCUGCAGCUGGCGGCACACCUGGAGGACAAGGUGCAUGCUGGCUGAGCUGUUCCCUUGUCCUGACGCUUGUUUCUCUGCACGUUUUGGUACCUUUCUGUGCCUGAAAGAGGCACAUGCAAUAAUAGCUGCUGGAGUGUCUUCGCACCUAGAAGCAAGAAGAAGCAAACAACCUGACCGUGUGCAGGCUUGGGACUUCUCCGCAGCCAAGCGAACAGUCCUGAGCAGGAGGAUUUGUCCUGGGGUGUUUUCCUCUUUGCUGGGAUCUCGAGUCUGGAGCCCUUGUGGACUGCGGAGGGUUUUGGAUGCUCCCUUCUGCCUCUGUCUGGGACCGAGCGUUGCUGCCAGAAGGCCACAGACACCUGCUUCGCCUCGAAUCUGGUGGAUUAUUUCUCUUGGCAUCGUCCCGCUAGUGCAGCGGUUUUUACGGAUCUUGUGGAACUGCCUUUGUUGCAUGAAAGCGCCCAGCUCGCGGAUGUGGGAAAGCAGCAGCUACAGCCCAGGGCUGCAGAGCCCCCCCCUCUUAUUUGGGCUGCUCUAUUCAGCAUCGUGGCUCUUUGGAGGAGGACGGAGUCCGUGCACCUGUGUAAGACAAGUCCUGCUGGUCUUAGAAUGGAGGCACCCUGCUGCUUUUCCGCACUUUAAAGCGUGUCGAAGCCGCCGGUGCCAGCCGUGCAGGGGAGCUGCCGUUUGUGAGGCUUACUGGGAACAAUGUGCGGCUUGUCUCAAGGGUGCUGCGGGGGGCUCCCGGUCCUGA